rnacentral:ncRNA from 1 species
AUGUUUACGGGGGGCUCUGACACGCGGGCCACACGUCGGCCGGCGGGACCGCUCCGAGCCACUGGCGAGACCGGCCCGCGAUGGC